rnacentral:lncRNA from 1 species
AAGGACAUUGCUGACAAGGUUUGGCAUUGCAGCAGGGCUGGUUAAAAUGAUCUUGUUUUUAAGCUUUUGUAAUCCCUGGAGACUCUGUAUCUAACUGCAUCAGGCAGAAAGUUUCUCCCCUUCAUCCCUGAAGCUCAGCAACAACGUUGUUCCAAGCACCUGGAAGGAACAAGAGCUCACAAUGCCUGUGGUACUCCCCAUGGAAUCUAAAGGGAAGG